GUCUACGGCCAUACUACCCUGAACGCGCCCGAUCUCGUCUGAUCUCGGAAGCUAAGCAUGGUUAGGCCUGGUUAGUACUUGGAUGGGAGACCACCUGGGAAUAUCAGUGCUUGCUGUAGGCU